UGGGGAAUAUUGGACAAUGGGCGCAAGCCUGAUCCAGCAAUGCCGCGUGAGUGAUGAAGGCCUUAGGGUUGUAAAGCUCUUUCGCACGCGACGAUGAUGACGGUAGCGUGAGAAGAAGCCCCGGCUAACUUCGUGCCAGCAGCCGCGGUAAUACGAAGGGGGCUAGCGUUGUUCGGAAUUACUGGGCGUAAAGGGCGCGUAGGCGGCCUGUUUAGUCAGAAGUGAAAGCCCCGGGCUCAACCUGGGAAUAGCUUUUGAUACUGGCAGGCUUGAGUUCCGGAGAGGAUGGUGGAAUUCCCAGUGUAGAGGUGAAAUUCGUAGAUAUUGGGAAGAACACCGGUGGCGAAGGCGGCCAUCUGGACGGACACUGACGCUGAGGCGCGAAAGCGUGGGGAGCAACAGGAUUAGAUACCCUGGUAGUCCACGCCGUAAACGAUGAAUGCUAGACGUCGGGGUGCAUGCACUUCGGUGUCGCCGCUAACGCAUUAAGCAUUCCGCCUGGGGAGUACGGCCGCAAGGUUAAAACUCAAAUGAAUUGACGGGGUCAUAGCUGUUUCCU
rnacentral:rRNA from 1 species